rnacentral:rRNA from 1 species
UGAGGAAUAUUGGUCAAUGGGCGAGAGCCUGAACCAGCCAAGUCGCGUGAGGGAAGACGGUCCUAUGGAUUGUAAACCUCUUUUGCCGGGGAGCAAAAAGCGGUACGCGUACCGCAUCGAGAGUACCCGGAGAAAAAGCAUCGGCUAACUCCGUGCCAGCAGCCGCGGUAAUACGGAGGAUGCGAGCGUUAUCCGGAUUUAUUGGGUUUAAAGGGUGCGCAGGCGGCGAGUUAAGUCAGCGGUAAAAUUUCGGGGCUCAACCCCGACGAGCCGUUGAAACUGGCUUGCUAGAGUGGGCGAGAA